rnacentral:rRNA from 1 species
AGAGUUUGAUCAUGGCUCAGGAUGAACGCUGGCGGCGUGCUUAACACAUGCAAGUCGAGCGGAGAUAAUCCUUCGGGGUUAUUUUAGCGGCGGACGGGUGAGUAACACGUGGAUAAUCUGCCGACUACAGGGGAAUAACAAUGAGAAAUCAUUGCUAAUGCCCCAUAAGCUCACAGCAUCGCAUGGUGAAGUGAGAAAAG